rnacentral:rRNA from 1 species
CAGUCGCCACGGGAAUACGUAGGGUGCAAGCGUUGUCCGGAAUUAUUGGGCGUAAAGAGCUCGUAGGCGGUUUGUCGCGUCUGCUGUGAAAACGCGAGGCUCAACCUCGCGCCUGCAGUGGGUACGGGCAGACUAGAGUGUGGUAGGGGAGAUUGGAAUUCCUGGUGUAGCGGUGGAAUGCGCAGAUAUCAGGAGGAACACCGAUGGCGAAGGCAGAUCUCUGGGCCAUUACUGACGCUGAGGAGCGAAAGCGUGGGGAGCGAACAGGAUUAGAGACCCCCGUAGUCCCUGUCUCUUAUAC